GAUCCUGGCUCAGGAUGAACGCUAGCUACAGGCUUAACACAUGCAAGUCGAGGGGCAGCAUGAACUUGGCUUGCUAAGUUUGAUGGCGACCGGCGCACGGGUGAGUAACACGUAUCCAACCUGCCGAUGACUCGGGGAUAGCCUUUCGAAAGAGAGAUUAAUACCCGAUGGCAUAGUUCUUCCGCAUGGUAGAACUAUUAAAGGAUUUCGGUCAUCGAUGGGGAUGCGUUCCA
rnacentral:rRNA from 1 species